GGCGCGGUGGUGAAGCGGUUAACACAGCUGUUUGCAGAACAGCCAUGCAUCGGUUCGAAUCCGAUUCGCGCCUCAA
rnacentral:tRNA from 1 species